CCAAGCUACUAAGAGCAUACGGUGGAUGCCUAGGCGCCAGGAGCCGAUGAAGGACGUGGCAGGCUGCGAUAAGCUUCGGGGAGCCGCCUAACAGGCUUUGAUCCGGAGAUCUCCGAAUGGGGGAACCCACCGGUGGUAAUGCGCCGGUACCCACGCCUGAACACAUAGGGCGUGAGGAGGCAAGCGGGGGAACUGAAACAUCUAAGUACCCCGAGGAAAAGAAAGCAAUCGCGAUUCCCUGAGUAGCGGCGAGCGAAACGGGAACAGCCCAAACCCGGCGGAUGCGAUAGCCCGCAGGCGUUGUCCGUCGGGGGUUGUAGGACCCUCCAGGUGUCGCUGCGGAGGCACCGGGGAGUUACAAAGUCCGUCUCUAGUCGAAUGGUUCUGGAAAGUCCAGCCACAGAGGGUAACAGCCCCGUAGGCGAAAGGGGCGGACCUCCCGGAGGGGAUCCUGAGUACGGCGGGACCGGGGAAAUCCCGUCGGAAUCCGCGGGCACCACCCCGCAAGGCUAAAUACUCCCUGGCGACCGAUAGUGGACUAGUACCGUGAGGGAAAGGUGAAAAGUACCCCGGGAGGGGAGUGAAAUAGUACCUGAAACCGUAUGCUUACAAACCGUCAGAGCGGCGUCAAAGCCGUGAUGGCGUGCUUUUUGUAGAAUGAGCCGGCGAGUUACCGGUACGCAGCGAGGUUAAGGGAGAUACCCGGAGCCGUAGCGAAAGCGAGUCUGAACAGGGCGAUUCAGUUGCGUGCCGUAAACCCGAAGCCGAGUGAUCUACCCAUGGGCAGGUUGAAGCGAGGGUAAGACCUCGUGGAGGACCGAACCCACUUCGGUUGAAAACGGAGGGGAUGACCUGUGGGUAGGGGUGAAAGGCCAAUCAAACUCGGAGAUAGCUGGUUCUCCCCGAAAUAGCUUUUGGGCUAGCCUCGGGUGUUUAGUGUUGGUGGUAGAGCACUGAUUGGACUAGGGGCCUUCACCGGUUACCAAACCCAGUCAAACUCCGAAUGCCAGUACUUGAGAGCCCGGGAGUCAGACCGUGGGGGAUAAGCUCCAUGGUCGAGAGGGAAACAGCCCAGACCGCCAGCUAAGGUCCCUAAUUCGGGCUAAGUGGGAAAGGAUGUGAGACUGCACAGACAGCCAGGAUGUUGGCUUAGAAGCAGCCACCAUUUAAAGAGUGCGUAAUAGCUCACUGGUCAAGUGGUUUCGCGCCGAUAAUGUAACGGGGCUCAAGCCCGAUACCGAAGCUGCGGCAUUGCGCCUACGGGCGUGAUGGGUAGGGGAGCAUUCCCUGGGGAGCGAAGUCGACCCGAAAGGGUUUCCCGUAUGGGAUUAAUCGAUGGACCGCAGGGAAGAGAGAAUGCCGGCAUGAGUAGCGAAAGACGGGUGAGAAACCCGUCCGCCGAAUGCCCAAGGGUUCCUGGGGAAGGUUAAUCCGCCCAGGGUUAGUCGGGACCUAAGGCGAGGCCGAGAGGCGUAGUCGAUGGACAACCGGUUUAUAUUCCGGUACCACCAGUCAGCGCUUGACCGAUUGGGGGGACGCGGAAGGAUAAGCGAACCGCGGCGAUGGUCGACCGCGGGCAAGCGUGUAGGGCGCUGCCGAGUCAAAUGCUUGGCGGCAUACAAGCCUGAGGCGUGAUGCCGACCCGCCUAUAGGGGAAGUCGCCGAAUCCAUGCCGCCGAGAAAAGCCCCUAGGGAGCUGCCUGGUGCCCGUACCCCAAACCGACACAGGUGGGCGAGUAGAGAAUACUAAGGCGAUCGAGAGAACCCUCGUUAAGGAACUCGGCAAAUUGGCCCCGUAACUUCGGGAGAAGGGGCACCCCGCUAGCGUGACGGGACUCGCUCCCUGAGCGCGAGGGGGUCGCAGUGAACAGGCCCAAGCGACUGUUUACUAAAAACACAGGUCUCUGCUAAGUCGUAAGACGACGUAUAGGGGCUGACGCCUGCCCGGUGCCGGAAGGUUAAGGGGAAGGGUUAGCGGCCGGCUUCGGCCGGUGCGCGAAGCUCCGAACUUAAGCCCCGGUGAACGGCGGCCGUAACUAUAACGGUCCUAAGGUAGCGAAAUUCCUUGUCGGGUAAGUUCCGACCUGCACGAAUGGCGUAACGACUUGGGCGCUGUCUCAACGAGGGACUCGGCGAAAUUGCAUUGCCCGUGAAGAUGCGGGCUACCUGCAGCAGGACGGAAAGACCCCGUGAACCUUUACUGCAGCCUGAUAUUGGGUUCUGGUUCAUCAUGUGCAGGAUAGGUGGGAGGCUGUGAAGCGGGGACGCCAGUUCCCGUGGAGCCGUCCUUGGGAUACCACUCUUGGUGUGCUGGGGCUCUAACCGGCAGCCGUUAUCCGGUUGCGGGACAGUGUCAGGUGGGCAGUUUGACUGGGGCGGUCGCCUCCUAAAAGGUAACGGAGGCGCCCAAAGGUUCCCUCAAGCUGGUCGGCAAUCAGCUGUAGAGUGUAAGGGCAGAAGGGAGCUUGACUGCGAGACCCACAAGUCGAGCAGGUGCGAAAGCAGGGCCUAGUGAUCCGGCGGCAUCAUGUGGGAGAGCCGUCGCUCAACGGAUAAAAGGUACUCCGGGGAUAACAGGCUUAUCUCCCCCAAGAGUCCACAUCGACGGGGAGGUUUGGCACCUCGAUGUCGGCUCAUCGCAUCCUGGGGCUGGAGUAGGUCCCAAGGGUUGGGCUGUUCGCCCAUUAAAGCGGUACGCGAGCUGGGUUUAGAACGUCGUGAGACAGUUCGGUCCCUAUCCGCUGCAGGCGUAGGAGAAUUGAGGGGAGUUGCCCCUAGUACGAGAGGACCGGGGUGAACGGACCUCUGGUGUGCCAGUUGUCCCGCCAGGGGCACGGCUGGUUAGCUACGUCCGGAUCGGAUAACCGCUGAAAGCAUCUAAGCGGGAAGCCGACCCCAAGAUCAGUUCUCCCACCGGGUAAACCGGGUAAGACCCCUCGUAGAUGACGAGGUUGAUAGGCCGGAUGUGGAAGCGCGGCAACGCGUGGAGCUGACCGGUACUAAUAGGUCGAGGGCUUGGUCUUAAACC
rnacentral:rRNA from 1 species